GAUGAACGUUGGCGGCGUGCUUAAUACAUGCAAGUCAACUGAAGCAGCGGUAGCCAUGUCGCUGUGGAGGUAGCGCCCGGGUGAGUAACAAGACGGUAAUCUGCCUUCAGGUCUGGCAUGACUACGGGAAACCGGGGCUAAUAGCAGAUGAUGCAGCGGCUCGACAUAGAGACAGUUGUUAAAGCUCUGGCGUCUGAAGAUGAGGCUGCGGCUGAUUAGCUAGUUGGCGGGGUAACAACCCACCAAGGCACCGAUCAGUCGCUGGUCUGAUAGGAUGAACAGCCACACUGAAACGGACACACGGCCCAGAGGCGUACGGAGGGGAGCAGUAAGGAAUAUUGCUCAAUGGGAGAAGGAGUGAAGCAGCGACGGCGCGUGAGGGACGAAGGGCGUUAGAUUGUAAACCUCUGUAGUGAGAGAAAAAAAUCCCAAUCUGUGCGACAUGAUGGUAUCUAAAGAGUAAGCCCCGGCUAACUACGUG
rnacentral:rRNA from 1 species